GGGGCUAUAGCUCAGCUGGGAGAGCGCUUGCAUGGCAUGCAAGAGGUCAGCGGUUCGAUCCCGUCAUCUCCACCA
rnacentral:tRNA from 1 species